AUUGAACGCUGGCGGCGUGCCUUACACAUGCAAGUCGAACGGUAACAGGUCUUCGGAUGCUGACGAGUGGCGAACGGGUGAGUAAUACAUCGGAACGUGCCUAGUAGUGGGGGAUAACUACUCGAAAGAGUGGCUAAUACCGCAUGAGAUCUACGGAUGAAAGCAGGGGAUCGCAAGACCUUGUGCUACUAGAGCGGCCGAUGGCAGAUUAGGUAGUUGGUGGGAUAAAGGCUUACCAAGCCGACGAUCUGUAGCUGGUCUGAGAGGACGAUCAGCCACACUGGGACUGAGACACGGCCCAGACUCCUACGGGAGGCAGCAGUGGGGAAUUUUGGACAAUGGGCGCAAGCCUGAUCCAGCAAUGCCGCGUGCAGGAUGAAGGCCUUCGGGUUGUAAACUGCUUUUGUACGGAACGAAAAGCCCCGGGUUAAUACCCUGGGGUCAUGACGGUACCGUAAGAAUAAGCACCGGCUAACUACGUGCCAGCAGCCGCAGUAA
rnacentral:rRNA from 1 species